CUACGGGGGGCAGCAGUAGGGAAUUUUCGGCAAUGGGCGAAAGCCUGACCGAGCAACGCCGCGUGAGUGAUUAAGGCCUUCGGGUUGUAAAGCUCUGUUGUAAAGGAAGAACGAUCGUGAUAGGAAAUGAUCACGAUGUGACGGUACUUUACCAGAAAGCCACGGCUAACUACGUGCCAGCAGCCGCGGUAAUACGUAGGUGGCAAGCGUUAUCCGGAGAUUAUUGGGCGUAAAGGGAGCGUAGGCGGUUUAUUAAGUCUGUGGUGAAAGUUCGGGGCUCAACCCCGUAUGGCCACAGAAACUGAUAGACUUGAGUAUAGGAGAGGGCAGUGGAAUUCCAUGUGUAGCGGUAAAAUGCGUAGAUAUAUGGAGGAACACCGGUGGCGAAGGCGGCUGCCUGGCCUAUUACUGACGCUGAGGCUCGAAAGCGUGGGGAGCAAAUAGGAUUAGAUACCCGUGUAGUC
rnacentral:rRNA from 1 species